AGAGUUUGAUCAUGGCUCAGGAUGAACGCUAGCGACAGGCUUAACACAUGCAAGUCGAGGGGCAGCGGGGGAGUAGCAAUACUCCCGCCGGCGACCGGCGCACGGGUGAGUAACACGUAUGAAACCUGCCCGUAGCAGGGGGAUAAGCGGAAGAAAUUCCGUCUAAUACCGCGUAACAACCCUUGGAGGCAUCUCCUCGGGUUUAAAGGGAGCGAUUCCGGCUACGGAUGGUCAUGCGUCGCAUUAGCUUGUUGGCGGGGUAACGGCCCACCAAGGCGACGAUGCGUAGGGGUUCUGAGAGGAAGGUCCCCCACACUGGUACUGAGACACGGACCAGACUCCUACGGGAGGCAGCAGUGAGGAAUAUUGGUCAAUGGCCGCAGGGCUGAACCAGCCAAGUCGCGUGAGGGAUGACGGUCCUAUGGAUUGUAAACCUCUUUUGUCAGGGAGCAAAGGGCGCCACGUGUGGCGUUUUGCGAGUACCUGAAGAAAAAGCAUCGGCUAACUCCGUGCCAGCAGCCGCGGUAAUACGGAGGAUGCGAGCGUUAUCCGGAUUUAUUGGGUUUAAAGGGUGCGCAGGCGGAAUGUCAAGUCACCGGUAAAAUUUCGGGGCUCAACCCCGUCGUGCCGUUGAAACUGGCGUUCUUG
rnacentral:rRNA from 1 species